rnacentral:rRNA from 1 species
AAACUGGGAUUAGAUACCCCACUAUGCCUGGCCCUAAAUCUUGAUACUUACCCUACCGAAGUAUCCGCCAGAGAACUACGAGCACAAACGCUUAAAACUCUAAGGACUUGGCGGUGCCCUAAACCCACCUAGAGGAGCCUGUUCUGUAAUCGAUGAUCCACGAUCAACCCAACCGCCCCUUGCCAAGCACAGCCUACAUACCGCCGUCGCCAGCCCACCUCGAAUGAGAGCGCAACAGUGGGCGCAACAGCACCCCGCUAAUAAGACAGGUCAAGGUAUAGCCUAUGGGACGGAAGAAAUGGGCUACAUUCCCUAUGCAUAGGGCAACACGGAAAGAAGUAUGAAACUGCUUCUAGAAGGAGGAUUUAGCAGUAAAGCGGGACAAUAAAGCUCGCUUUAAGCCGGCCCUAGGGCACGUACACACCGCCCGUCACCCUC